ensembl:lncRNA PDC-AS1 PDC antisense RNA 1
AUUCUCUUGCCUCAACCUCCCGAGUAGCUGGGAUUACAGGUGCCCACCACCACGCCCGGCUAAUUUUUAUAUUUUUAGUACAGACAGGGUUUCACCAAGAUGUCCAGGCUGGUCUUAAACUCCUGACCUGAGGUGAUCUGCCUGCCUCGGCCUCCUAAAGUGCUGGGAUUACAGGUGUGAGCCACUGCACCCGGCCACCACUUCUAUUUAUCAUUGUCCUGUAGAAAAAUAAGCAAAUGACAAACCAGGUAUUUUCAGAGGAUAUGACUGAACACAUGAAAAGAAGUUUUACCUUGUAAGUGAUUGGCUAAUUAAAACCAUAAUUAAUAACAUUUUACAUUCAAUAGAUUGAAAAAUUAAGGAAUACAACAAUACCAAUAAAGAUGAUGUGCCUCAGUCUUUCACACUGCAGAUAGGAUUUUGAACUGAUAGACUCUGAGCUCAGAAAGCAAUUUGGCACUAUCUCUUAGAGUUAAGAAUUCACGUACACUAACCAUUCUACCUCUACAUAAAUGCCUUAGAGAAAUUCUUGGAUAUGUGUACCUCAAGAGUACACAUGUGAGAAUGCUUGUGGCAGCCCUGUUUUUAAUUACUCAAAUGUCCGUUGACAACAAAAAACAAAUUACGGGUUUUGUAAUUUUAUUCAGCAGGGAGAAUGACCUACAUACAACAACCCAGAGUAAUCUUAAAAAUGAUAAAGCAAGUCUCAGAAGUCUACAUACAGUAUGCUACAGUUUUUAUAAAGCUAUAAAAGAAACCUAAACUGUAUUAUGUAGGAAUAUGUAUAUUUGUGAUAAAACUUUUUCUUUUAAAGGAGUCAUAAAACUCAGGAUAGUGGCAAGGUGUAACACAUGAAUACAUAAAACAAUAUUAGUGAUACUUUCGUUCUUGAGUAAUGGGUUUCUUGAUCUUCAUUUCAUUUACUUAAUGGCACUAACAUAAAUUUUGGGUGGGGUUGUCUGUUACUAACAAACUACCCUCAAACUUAAUUAGCUUAAAAUAACAACCAUUUCACUUGCCUCAAUGCUGUGAGUUGAUAGGAAUCAGCUGGGUGGUUUUGCGCCACAUGAUGGUGACUUUAGCUGCAGUUAUCUAGGGGCUGGAUUGGGCUUGAAACAUCUGAGAUACUCAUGCACAUGAUUGGCAGUUAAUGGUGGCUAUCAGCUGGGAAUUCAGCUGCCACAUCUCAGUUUAUGUGGCUUCUCCAUGGGACUUGGAGUUCUUCCAGUCGUGGUGGCUGGGCUUGCUAUCAUUUAUGGCUGGGAUCCAAGAAGCAGCAUCCCAAGUAUAAGCAUUUCAAGAAGAGGAAAGUAGAAGCUAAGUCCUUUUGGGGCCUUAGCUUGGAAAUCCCAGAACAUUAUUUUCACCACAUUGUAUUGGUCAAAGUAAUCUACAGGGUCAGCCUAGAUUAAAGAAAAAAAAAAAAAACCCCUUUUUGAUGGGAAGGGGUCAUGCAUACACGAGCAAGAAAGAAAUUGAUGGCAGAAAUCUUUGGUAGUUACAAUGUACCCCCUGGUCAUAGUAAUUUGUGUUCCUGAUGGAAAAUUAUUUCACUACCUCCUAGGAAACCUUAAAGUCUCAUCUCAAUAUGACAUCAAGUUCAAGCUCAAGACCCAGAAUCUCAUGAUCUAAACCAGUUUCAGUAACAUAUGAGGCACCUUUACUACAGUUUCCCUCAAUCCGAAGAUGUGUGAAACUAAAGACAAGUUUUCUUUCCCAUAUUCACCCAGCCUACGAUGAGUCCUACCCACUGUAUUAGUUGUUAGAGUUGUGGAACUUAACCGAAGCUUUCUCUGGAUUCCAGAUGUUUUAAGAAUAUUUUCAGCUGCAUGGCUUGACAGCCUUGGGAUUCCCUCACACAUUCACAGUCUUUUUUGGAUCAGUCUGAUGUGAGCAUGAAAACUGGGAGUUGUGGAGCCCACUUAGGAAAUGAUUGCAAUUGUCCAGGAGACAGAUGAUGGUAAUUAAGUUUCCAUCAGCCUGGAACUCAGGACAGAAGAUACAUAUUCUGUAUGUAGAGAAUCACUGGAGGUCAAAUGUCUUUGCCAAUUUGAGUUUUUCCACUUGAACAAGAAAAGACUGUCAAGGGAAAGCCAAUCAAUUUCACAAUGUUUAGAAUAAGAAACUGUUUCAGAGAAGGUGCUGCACUAAAAAGGCAUUGUAAUGACUGAACAUGAUUAAACAUGGGAUAAAAAUAGCAGACUGGAAAUCAAGUACGGAAGUGAAAUGCCUCUUAAAUCAACUGAAGUGAAAUUUACCUUAGAGCCACUCAACAGUCCUGUUUGGGCCAGUCUCCUGGAAUAUGAGAAAAGAUGAAGAAUGGGAGUGUUAUGGAGGGCAUACGCCCCUCUGAUCAUCACCACAAAGAGUGGAGCCCUUCAUGGUCCCAGCUGAAAGCCUGGAGAGGCUGCGCGCGGUGGCUCACGCCUGUAAUCCCAACGCUUUGAGAGGCCAAGGCAGGUGGAUCACUUGAGCGCAGGAAUUCAAGACCAGCCUGGGCAACAUGGCAAAACCCCAUCUCUACAAAAAGUACAAAAAUUAACCGGGCGUGGUGGUGGGUGCCUGUAGUCCCAGAUACUCCGGAGGCUGACGCAGGAGAAUCGCUUGAACCUGGGAGGCGCAGGUUGCAGUGAGCCGACAUCUCGCCACUGCACUCCAGCCUGGGGGACAGAAUGAGACUCCAACUCAAAAAAAGAAAAAAAGAAAAAGAAAGCCUGGGGAUAUUUACCAGGACCCUUCCUCCUUUUCAGGCCCUAGAUUCUAAGAUCCUGCUUUGCAGAUCUGAAGUGGGACCCAGGAAUCUUUAACAAGCUCUAAGCCUGCCGAGUGCCUGCGAUUGCAGGCACGCGCCGCCACGCCUGACUGGUUUUGGUGGAGACGGGGUUUCGCUGUGUUGGCCGGGUCUCCAGCCCCUAACCGCGAGUGAUCCGCCAGCCUUGGCCUCCCGAGGUGCCGGGAUUGCAGACAUACAGAUAUUCUUUUACUUGUUCUGGAGAAAAUAGAAUUUUAGAAAUUCAUAACAGCCAUCUUUUUUAAAGUAUCUGUUUAUCUUGUAAAUAUACAUAUUCCUGUACAUAUUGUUUGAAUUCCAUUACAGACAUUAUUAUGAAUGGUUCAUAUAUAUUUUGAUAAUGACUUAUAUAAUAUCAAAUCCACUUAUAAACAUAGUAUUUGGGCAGAAAUUGUCAUGAUGAAUUAGAUGAUCUCUAAAGUUUUUUCUAGCUUUAAUAUGAGGUGAUUCUAAGUAGCAGGUACAAUGGACAAUAUGUGUGUGUGU